rnacentral:rRNA from 1 species
AUCAGCCUUUUCGGGUGCGAUUCUGUGGGGUUUGAGGAGCUUAACACCUUCAUGCUUUGCAUAUUCGUGCUCUUGGGUGUACUUGCCCGUGUGGUUGGUUAACAUCAAUUUCGGGCACCAAAAAAUGGCUGGAGGAAUGUAGCUUCGAUCUUGUAUUGAAGUGUUAUAGCCUUCGGUAGAUGUGGUGAUCGAGAUUGAGGAUUGCAACGGAUACCUUUCGGGGCUACCUGUCUGAUCUCUGAUCGUUGCUUUGGUGCUGAAAGCGUGCUUAUAGUUAUCAAAGUCGAUGGUCAAUAGGUUAGAACGGGUUAAAUUCGUUAAGGAUGUUGACGUAAUGGCUUU